rnacentral:rRNA from 1 species
UACGUAGGGUGCAAGCGUUGUCCGGAAUUAUUGGGCGUAAAGAGCUCGUAGGCGGUUCGUCGCGUCGGCUGUGAAAACCCGGAGCUCAACUCCGGGCCUGCAGUCGAUACGGGCGGACUCGAGUUCGGCAGGGGGGACUGGAAUUCCUGGUGUAGCGGUGAAAUGCGCAGAUAUCAGGAGGAACACCGGUGGCGAAGGCGGGUCUCUGGGCCGAUACUGACGCUGAGGAGCGAAAGCGUGGGGAGCGAACAGG